rnacentral:rRNA from 1 species
CAGCAGCCGCGGGAAUACGUAGGUGGCAAGCGUUGUCCGGAAUUAUUGGGCGUAAAGGGCUCGCAGGCGGUUUCUUAAGUCUGAUGUGAAAGCCCCCGGCUCAACCGGGGAGGGUCAUUGGAAACUGGGAAACUUGAAUGCAGAAGAGGAGAGUGGAAUUCCACGUGUAGCGGUGAAAUGCGUAGAGAUGUGGAGGAACACCAGUGGCGAAGGCGACUCUCUGGUCUGUAACUGACGCUGAGGAGCGAAAGCGUGGGGAGCGAACAGGAUUAGAGACCCGCGUAGUCCCUGUCUCUUAUAC